AGGGUCGUAAAGCUCUUUCGCCAGGGAUGAUAAUGACAGUACCUGGUAAAGAAACCCCGGCUAACUCCGUGCCAGCAGCCGCGGUAAUACGGAGGGGGUUAGCGUUGUUCGGAAUUACUGGGCGUAAAGCGCACGUAGGCGGACUAUUAAGUCGGGGGUGAAAUCCCGGGGCUCAACCCCGGAACUGCCUCCGAUACUGGUAGUCUUGAGUUCGAGAGAGGUGAGUGGAAUUCCGAGUGUAGAGGUGAAAUUCGUAGAUAUUCGGAGGAACACCAGUGGCGAAGGCGGCUCACUGGCUCGAUACUGACGCUGAGGUGCGAAAGUGUGGGGAGCAAACAGGAUUAGAUACCCUGGUAGUCCACACCGUAAACGAUGAAUGCCAGUCGUCGGCAAGCAUGCUUGUCGGUGACACACCUAACGGAUUAAGCAUUCCGCCUGGGGAGUACGGUCGCAAGAUUAA
rnacentral:rRNA from 1 species